AACGAACGCUGGCGGCAGGCUUAACACAUGCAAGUCGAGCGCACCGCAAGGGGAGCGGCAGACGGGUGAGUAAGGCGUGGGAAUCUACCCAUCUCUACGGAAUAACGCAUGGAAACGUGUGCUAAUACCGUAUACGUCCUUAGGGAGAAAGAUUUCUAGGAGAUGGAUGAGCCCGCGUUGGAUUAGCUAGUUGGUGGGGUAAAGGCCUACCAAGGCGACGAUCCAUCGCUGGUCUGAGAGGAUGAUCAGCCACACUGGGACUGAGACACGGCCCAGACUCCUACGGGAGGCAGCAGUGGGGAAUAUUGGACAAUGGGCGCAAGCCUGAUCCAGCCAUGCCGCGUGAGUGAUGAAGGCCCUAGGGUUGUAAAGCUCUUUCACCGGUGAAGAUAAUGACGGUAACCGGAGAAGAAGCCCCGGCUAACUUCGUGCCAGCAGCCGCGGUAACAC
rnacentral:rRNA from 1 species